rnacentral:lncRNA from 1 species
GAAAUUCAGAUGAUCAACGCCCUUCCAUGCGUGAUCGGCUGGGGGGCAGAAGCGACCGAUAUGAUCGGUCAGAAGGAAGAAGCUAUAAUAGGCAGGGGGGCAGGACCGAUCAACACGAUCAAUCAAAUAGCAAAGCCAGCGUCCACAGCCGGCUCGAAGAUAUGGCCGAUGCUCGGGUAACAGACGAAAACCCGUUAGGACGUGAGCCAGAAUGGGAACGCGCCGGAAAAGAAGGGAGGCCAAUAAA